rnacentral:rRNA from 1 species
CCGACCGGCGCACGGGUGAGUAACGCGUAUGCAACUUACCUAUCAGAGGGGGAUAACCCGGCGAAAGUCGGACUAAUACCGCAUGAAGCAGGGGCCCCGCAUGGGGAUAUUUGCUAAAGAUUCAUCGCUGAUAGAUAGGCAUGCGUUCCAUUAGGCAGUUGGCGGGGUAACGGCCCACCAAACCGACGAUGGAUAGGGGUUCUGAGAGGAAGGUCCCCCACAUUGGUACUGAGACACGGACUAA